rnacentral:lncRNA from 1 species
UCCGGCUUUUGGUUUUGUGUGUCCACCUUGCGCAACUCCGGAGCCAGCCGACCCCACAUGGAUUCUCAACAGGUGGCCGGUGUCAACGCGCUAGAGAGGCCGUCUCACCUCCAAAGGUAUCUUCACUCCCGGAGGGCCCGGGCUCCCAGCCGCAGUCCCACACUGGGCCCGCGCGCCGGAUACGAGGUGCUCCGACGGCAAAAAUCCCAUACAUUUUUAACUACAGUGAUUACUAAAUUAAUAGCAGGCACUAAGACAGAUGUCAAAACGUCUUGAAAAUGUUUAUCUGUGAAUAAUUGAGAAGGUGGUGGGACGCAUUAUCUGAUUGUGUAAUGAAAUAUGUAUGAGGAA